GCAUGAGAUAAGUAGGCAAGAAGAACAGAAGAGUUCUCAGCAUGGUAGAUAGAUAAGCAUAGAAAAUUAGUUCUAAGUUCAACCUUACAGACAGUUUUCUUGACUAUUUUAUAUCAUAAAUGGCAGCAGAGUCUUCCAGAAGUACCCUCCGUAAUGAAAUAACAGCAACAGAGCUCAUCAUCUUCAGGAAGUAGGCCAUCUGGAGGACAGACUGGCUGUUACUGCCCAGGCGGGGUUUCUGGAUCUUAUGGUGGACAA